AGUCUGCAUCUUCACCCUCUACUUGGAAGCCCCGUUUAUGUUCCUGAGAAAGUGCUGUGCUCAGUUCCUCUUUCCACUGCCUGGUUGUGUGCUUUUGGCUGCUCACUGAGCAACUCUGAGUCCUGUUUCCAUAAAGUAUACAGACUACAUGUUAACCUACCUUCAAGGAUGUAGCCAUGGCUUUGAAAGCUAAAAUUAAAUGUAAACUGAUCUGCACAUUGAUUGUUUGAGGUUAGUGUGAUCUUGAUUCAAAAACCAGCUAAGGACAAUACAAGAAAAUAAAUCACAGCUCCAUUUCGCUCUCAAAAAUUCCAAGUAAAAUAUUGGCUAGCAGAAUCCACAGUGGAUAUAAAAAGUAAUAAUACAUUAUAUUCACCUGAGUUAUUUCAGCAAUGCAUGGCUGAAAUAUCAGCUCAGCAUCAGAAAUAUCAGUGUACUCCACCAGAGAAAAAUAGUAUACAGUCAAAGUAUUUUACCAAGUUGACUCACAAAUUAUGAUUUAAAAUUCUCAAAACACCCCCUUCCAACAAGCCUAGCAAUUGAAGGGGUCUUCCGAAAAUGGAGAAACAGUAUCGAUUACAACAGAAGCCAACAGUCACAUCACACCCAGUGGAAAAGAAUGUGAUCGAUUCUCAUUAGGGUCUGGAAUAAGAAAAGGAGGACAGCUCCCACCUCCCACUACCUUAACACUGGUGGUCUGGGUUAAUAGUUACUAAGGAGUUCCGAAAAAUUAAAACAAAAUUAAACAAAACCUCCAGGAACGACAAAAAAAAGCAUUCUGGCUUUCAUGUGACUUCACAAUUCAUUCAUCCCCACAAUCCGAGCAUAGUCUCUUUGAAGCCAGGAUGCUGUCUGAUGUUUUUAAAAAUCUGCGGGACAGCACCUACCGGACGGGUUGGUGGCAGGUACUACUUUGCAAAAGGGGAUCCUAUCUACGCUAUGCAGUAGUAAAGAUGACACGAGAUCCACACGGAGAACGGCUGUUUACAUGCUGGAGCAGCACUCAUUUGGAAAGGCCGCACUCCACCCCACGGCUCACUCUCGGGGUCCCAGCGCCGGGUCCAGGCCCCAGGCCCACCCGGACCCGCGCGCGAGCCGCCGUCCUCGCGCCGGCCAGCAGGUGGCGCCCGGGCUCCACGGCCGCAGUCAGGCAGCGCGGUUAGCGCCGCGGGAAGUCGCCUCCGAGUGGGGCCGCCGCGCCUCGGAGGCGGCUACCCGGGGUCCUGGGGCCAACGUCGCCAACGUGCCUGGCAGGGGCUCGAAAGGGACCGGCCCGCCCCUCGGUCCCGCCCGCACUGCUUCCGUCCGGGGACGAUCUCCAGGGCCUUCGAGCGGUGCCCGCGGCUGGGGGGGCGACCGAGGGGCUGGCGUCUGCGACCCUGCGGGAGGCGAGCCGGGGUUGGGCGGGGACCUGGCCGCGCUUCCCGCCCCGCCGCGCAGGGGUCGGCUGGGCCUGCGGCUGGAGACAGGUGGCGGGACCUCGGGGCCACGUCCACGGGGAGCCUGCGGAGGGGAAGCCGCCCCCUCGGCCCCCGGAGCGUCCUUGGCGUGUGAUGAUCAACAACAGCGACGGCCCCGCGCUGGCCCCUCAGAGCCCGGUCCCCGCGCGGGUCCGCUGGGCGAUCCCGGCUCCACGGACCCUCCCUCCUCCAGCGUCGGCGCCCGAGGAGACCGAUCGGGGUCAGGGCGGGGGGACGCGCGGACUCCUCCGUGGCGCCGCCCGAACACCUGCUCGGCCCCAGGUGAGCCUCAGGUCCAUUCAAGUUGUCCUCCUUGCGAAAUGGUUGAAAAAUAA
rnacentral:lncRNA from 13 species